AUUGAACGCUGGCGGCAGGCCUAACACAUGCAAGUCGAGCGAGCGGCGGACGGGUGAGUAAUGUCUGGGAAACUGCCUGAUGGAGAGGGAUAACUACUGGAAACGGUAGCUAAUACCGCAUACCCUCAGAUGUGCCCAGAUGGGAUAAUCUAGUAGGUGGGGUAACGGCUCACCUAGGCGACGCUCCCUAGCUGGUCUGAGAGGAUUACCAGCCACACUGGAACGUAGACACGGUCCAGACUCCUACGGGAGGCAGCAGUGGGGAAUAUUGCACAACGGGCGCAAGCCUGAUGCAGCCAUGCCGCGUGUGUGAAGAAGGCCUUCGGGUUGUAAAGCACUUUCAGCGGGGAGGCGUUACCCGCAGAAGAAGCACCGGCUAACUCCGUGCCAGCAGCCGCGGUAAUAC
rnacentral:rRNA from 1 species